rnacentral:lncRNA from 1 species
AGCAUUUUCAACAAAUGGUGCUGGCACAACUGGCGGUUAUCAUGUAGAAAAAUGUGAAUUGAUCCAUUCCUAUCUCCUUGUACUAAGGUCAAAUCUAAGUGGAUCAAGGAACUCCACAUAAAACCAGAGACACUGAAACUUAUAGUGGACAAAGUGGGGAAAAGCCUCGAAGAUAUGGGCACAGGGGAAAAAUUCUUGAAUAGAACAGCAAUGACUUGUGCUGUAAGAUUGAGAAAUGGGACCUCAUAAAAUUGCAAAGCUUCUGUGAAGUGGACAUUUUAAGAGAACCUGUUAUCUUGACAUUUUCUACAGAACUACAAGGUCAUGAUAGUAAACUUUCUGUAUUCAAGAACAUAAAAGAGACCAAUAUGCCAAAAUGAUGAGAGAAGGAGAAUAAUAAGUGAUAACAUUGGAAAGUCAACCAAAGGUUUUAUCACUGAGAAACUCGUGGGCUGGAAGGAGGAGUUUGAACUUUCAAAAUGUUAGAAAAAAAUUUUUAGAGAGUUUGCUUUGUUUUCUUGCUUUCUUUUUCCAAAAUAAGAUGAAUUCAAUGACAUCUAGAAAUUGUAUUCACAAGGCUUUUGAAGAACUGAUAUUUUUAAUUAAACCUAGUAAUACUAUAGGACCUCAGGUAUAUAUCUUCUUCAUAGUAUAUCUUCGGGUAUGAUUGGCAUAUACAUGAACAUACACAUUUAUACAAAGAAGAAAGAGAUGUAGGAAGAUGAUAAUAAUGAUAGUUUUUCUGAGGAAAGUUUUAUUCAUAACUGAAGUGGAAAGUUUUGGUUACAUAAUGGCAUCUAGAAUUUAAAUUCUGUUAAUGCCAUUUAUAAGAAAUGGGGCAGAGAUAGAAUAACUUGAUCUUAGAAAAAUAUUAGGUGAUAAAGCUUCAAUUUUAAUUCAGGCAGUCAGGCUUUAUAUUUAAGCUUCAUGCAAAGGAGAUAAAAGUAUGUAAUUUUCAUCCAUAAUUAUUUAAUUACCCUUAAGUUGUGAAGGGAUCUCUGUGAGUGACUGGGGGUGGGGGGUGCAAUGCAUUUAUUGUUUUUUUGGAGUAACAUUUACUCAAGUUGUAGUCUGCUUUUUUUUCAGGAUUUAUUAGUGUUCAUUUAUAUACUGUUCAUAUAUAUUUGUUCAUUCACUAUUAUAUUUAUAAUUUUAGCAAUAUUAUCACAUACCUCACCAAUAGUAUUAAAAAAUUUUGCCACUGGUAGGGUACCAGUGAAAUCUUCACUUGAUUUCUAAGAAAACAAGAUUGUGGCUUAUGUAGUAGUUCUUGGAAUCAACUUUUCUCUUGUGUUAGUCGAGGAGAUUCCUGCUGUGUCACAGACCUCAAAUACUUUUCUUCUGGGGAGAAAGCAAGUCAAGAAUGUAUGUUUAUUCCUUCUCAGAUUUCUGUUACCAUCUCCCAGGGGAAGUUUUAGUCACUCUCUAGCUGUAAAUCUGACAUUCUGUUACUCUGAAUAAAUUGUAUCAAAUGAAUAGUCUUGAAGCUACAGGUAAAAUGUCUAAGGGAUAAGUACAUUCUUUUUCAUUUUUAACGUGCUGCCACAAAUUUCCAUAUAUGUUGUUUAUUAUUUUUUUCCUGUUUAUAAGUUUUUUUUUAAGUAAUGACAUACCUUUUGAUAAUUCAUACAUUCUUAAGGGCAUUUCAGAAAACCAUUUUGAAAAAUAUGUCAUCAAAAGAUUUGGAUGAAUUCUAGGUAGGGAAAUGAGAUACCUCUAGGCAUUAUAAUUUUACAUGUAGAUAGAAGGCUUGUUUAACGCUUACUUGCGUGAGUCUGAAUUGGUGGGCAACUUGGAAUAUUGGCAGCACUGUUUCAUACAGUUGUUCAGGGACCUUGCACCUUCUAUUUUACCAUUCUUCCAUCUCCAGUGAUUGUGUUCUGUCUGAGAGAUGAAUCUGGAUUAUCAUCCUGCUUUGUGGGGAAAACCAAAACAAACAAAUGAAAAUUG